GACCAUCGCCUAGAAAGUUGAUGACAAAUCUUGACUUACAAUUUCUCCUUCUCCAACCAUUAACUCUCAUUCAAACCUUGUGUGCAACUCUGCCUUUAAGUCCUUGGCUUAUCAUAUUAAAAUUCACCUUAUUCUAGCCGAUAGAUCUCCAGAUAUUACAAAAAUAAUAAACGACUCCAAUGUGCUGACUUCUGAUACCUCUUUACACUAAUGAUCAAAUAUCUUUUAUUCGUACCGUUAGAUUAACACAAAUUUUUGCAAACACUUGGCAUACUCAACCAUCUAGACACUUCUAAAAUUUCAACUGCAGAUGUUUCUCUAAUUUCACAAAACAGUCAAGAGUAUU
rnacentral:lncRNA from 1 species